UCUUUUUGUUUAAAUUUUAAAGUCAGGCCUGCCCAAUGAUGUUUUAAUGGCCGCGGUAUUUUGACCGUGCUAAGGUAGCAUAAUCAUUAGUUUUUUAAUUAAAAGCUGGAAUGAAGGGUUAGAUGAAAAAAUAACUGUCUCUAAAUAAUUUAAUUAAAAUUUUAUUUUUAAGUUAAAAAGCUUAAAUAUUUUUAAAAGACGAGAAGACCCUAUAGAGUUUAAAAAUUAAAAUUUUUUUUUUAUUUAAGAUUUGAAUUUAAUAAAUUAUUUUAUUUUUUAAUUGGGGUGAUUAAAAAAUUUAAUUAACUUUUUUUAUAUUUUAAUAUAAAUUUAUAAAUUAAUGAUCCAAUAGUUUGAUUAUAAGAGUAAAUUACCUUAGGGAUAACAGCGUAAUUUUAUUAGAAAGUUCAUAUUGAUAAUAAAGAUUGCGACCUCGAUGUUGGAUUAAAA
rnacentral:rRNA from 1 species